rnacentral:lncRNA from 1 species
GUACGACAACCGCAACCGCAAGACCUCUGACCGCCAGCCCGACUUCGUGCGUCGUGACGACCGCAACUCGGCGCUGUGGCUGGACAGUGAGUAGCGGGCCCAGGCAGGCGUUCGGGGAACGGGCUCGGCGACUGCACCGAGGCCAUCGAUGUGGAGUAAAGGGUUGCAGCUCAGUCUUGAUCUAUGGCGCCGUUUUUGUAAGCCUCGCAUGGUGGCGUAGUGCUGAUUACCGCACAGUCAUUCGCCAAUGCCCUGGGCCCGAGGACAUAGAUGUAACACUUGUCUGGUUGCGUUCCUGUGCAGGCCGCGGCGUGCCCGAGUGGGUGGACGAGCUGCUUGCUGAGCUGGACGAGCGCCAGGCCGCCCGCCGCGAGCAGCGCGUGGCGGAGCGGGCGGCGGGUGGCGGCGACGAGCGCCAGGAGGGCGGCGGUGGCCGCCGCGGCGCCGAGGAGCUGGCCAACUGGGAGUCGCUGAGGGCCAACCCGAUUGAGUGGUGAGUCAGAAGACGGAGGCGCAUGGCAAGGCAUUGUAGUGUGUGUUGCCACACAAGGCAAUGCGGUAUGCGUGCAGAGGUUGCGGAGGGAAACAGGUUGAGCUUUGAGGCGACGUGGAUGGCGCGUCUUUGGCGUCUGGGGGUAUUCGGUGUCUGCACCCCGUGCACGUACAUGAGUAUGGUUGCGUCUGCAUCACAUCUCAUCAUGCUUGUUUUGUACGGCCUGCUGCUCCCCGUUUUGAACAGGUACGACAACCGCAGCCGCAAGACCUCUGACCGCCAGCCCGACUUCGUGCGUCGUGACGACCGCCGCGCCGCCCUGUGGCUGGACAGUGAGUGGCUGCACCUGAGCAGAGGGGGGAAGGAAACGAGGACACGCAUAUGAAGGCCGCGGCACAGAUCCAGGGUCAGCACAUCAUAUCGAGUCCAUCUGGGCAUUUUCCUCAGCUUAAACGCAUUGCUGCCCCAACCCUCCAG